rnacentral:tRNA from 1 species
GGGCCUGUGGUCUAACGGCUAUGACGUCGCCUUCGCAAGGCGGAGAUUCCGGGUUCAAUUCCCGGCAGGUCCA